rnacentral:rRNA from 1 species
AUUGAACGCUGGCGGCAGGCCUAACACAUGCAAGUCGAGCGAGCGGCGGACGGGUGAGUAAUGUAUGGGGACUGCCCGAUAGAGGGGGAUAACUACUGGAAACGGUAGCUAAUACCGCAUACUAUCGGAUAACCCAUAUGGGAUUAGCUAGUAGGUGAGGUAAUGGCUCACCUGGGCGACGAUCCCUAGCUGGUCUGAGAGGAUGAUCAGCCAAACGGGGAUGGAGACACGGCCCAGACUCCUAGGGGGGAAGCAGGGGGGAAUAUUGCACAAGGGGGGCAAGCCUGAUGCAGCCAGGCCGGGGGUAGGAAGAAGGCCCUAGGGUUGUAAAGUACGUUAAGUGGGGAGGCGUUACCGACAGAAGAAGCACCGGCUAACUCCUUGCCAGCGGCGGCGGUAAUU